rnacentral:rRNA from 1 species
UACAGAGGUGGCAAGCGUUGUUCGGAAUUACUGGGCGUAAAGGGCGCGUAGGCGGCCCGUCAAGUCCCGUGUGAAAGCCCCCGGCUCAACCGGGGAACGGCGCGGGAAACUAGCAGGCUCGAGUUCGGGAGAGGGAAGCGGAAUUCCGGGUGUAGCGGUGAAAUGCGCAGAUAUCCGGAGGAACACCGGUGGCGAAGGCGGCUUCCUGGACCGACACUGACGCUGAGGCGCGAAAGCGUGGGGAGCAAACAGG